rnacentral:rRNA from 1 species
AGAUUGAACGCUGGCGGCAGGCCUAACACAUGCAAGUCGAGCGGCAGCACGGGUACUUGUAUCUGGUGGCGAGCGGCGGACGGGUGAGUAAUGCCUAGGAAUCUGCCUGGUAGUGGGGGAUAACGCUCGGAAACGGACGCUAAUACCGCAUACGUCCUACGGGAGAAAGCAGGGGACCUUCGGGCCUUGCGCUAUCAGAUGAGCCUAGGUCGGAUUAGCUAGUUGGUGGGUAAUGGCUCACCAAGGCGACGAUCCGUAACUGGUCUGAGAGGAUGAUCAGUCACACUGGAACUGAGACACGGUCCAGACUCCACGGGAGCAGCAGGUGGGAAUAUGGACAAUGGGACGAAAGCCUGAUCCAGCCAAUGCCGACGUGUACGUGAAAGUAAGGUCUUCCGGAAUUAGUAAACGCUAACGUUUAAGGUCGGAAGGAAGGUCUAAGUUACCCUAAAGUACCGUAGUUC